CCGAUCUUGUUCUUACCUCUUCGAUAGAUUGGCGGAGCUGAGCAGAUGUCUUUAUAGACGAAGCAAGAGUGUUAUACAGCCGUUGACUUAAAGUUAGAAGAAAGAUCAUAGGAAACUGUAGUGCAUGUAACAAGAUAAUCUCAUCAUAUAUACAAUGAAGAGCUGUCCGAUAAUCCUUCUCACAGUCUGUGCUAGUUUAAUCAUCAGUCAAGUAGCUGGCAAUAUUGUAUGCGGCAAUCAACCGCAAAAGGGCAACAAACAGUCGUUAGCAGAAUACGUCUCAGAUGUUGUCAGCUACCUGCGAUAUUGUGGCAAACAAAGGUAUGGUAGAUCAUAUGAAGGUACACUUCAAGAAAUAGGUUAUCCUUCUGAAAUGGACAAAGACUUUGAAGAUGAGUACAACCGCUUUCUCCAGCAAUUUUUCAAACGGUACCAAUAAGUGUUCAACUGCAACCGGAGGCUGAUUUUUUUAUUUUGUAAUCCAUGAAAGAAGAAAACAACUCAAUUCAGUUAUUUUAUUGUUUUAAAAAAAGCUAGACAAUGACUUCGAUUUAACAACAAUGUCUUACAAUGUAAGAAAUGUGUAUAAUACGAACUGUGCUUUGAUUAAUAUAACACGGAUCGCAUAAAGUGUUUUGUUUGAAUAGAAGAAGCGUUUUCGAAAUCGUAUUGUACAUUUCAGUUUAGGUUGAACGAGGCAACACAGUGUCUUAAACUAGCACUAGAUAUAAAUAAAUAAUGGCAACGACAUAACCAAAAAUAUGAAUCUAAACAUAAUUUACAUUUGCAUGUUAAUAUUUUAAUUAUGAUCAGGUAGUCGUUUAUAGUUGCUAUCCACGUAUUCCUAGUUGAUAUUAUCGGUCAAUGCAAAUGGUUCGUAGCUAAAGAUUUAAGACGUAUGAUGCUGGGUUUUUUUUCCAGUGACUUCCCUUUCCACCACUCUUAGAAUAACAUUUAAAUUUGUAUAUUGUAUAUUCAAGGUCAUUAGUGAAAUCAUUGUUGGUUUGCAGUUGUUUACACGAUUCACUUAUUUUUAAACGUAACGUUCCCUCUGGAUAUACGAGUGUGGACUACGAAUCUUUCUUAUAAUACGCUGUACAAUGUACAAAUUAUGAAAUACAUUUCUCCAAGACAGUAAAAGAACAAACCAAAUAGCAAAGCAUCUCAAUUACAUAGUUACGAAUAGUCCGGAAAUACAUGUGACUACGCCAAAAAAAAAGAAUGUUAUUCAAUCUCUUUUUUUAAAUCGAAUUUUAAAUAAUAAGUUUCUCCUAACUAACGAGUAGCAAACGUCACCGCAUACCACGUGUGCCUAAAAGUGUGUGUUUUCUUUUUAAGUGGCUCAUUCAUGUACAACAAUGGGAUUACGUCACCGAACCAAUCAACUAGUCAUACACUAAUAUUCUGUUUCAAUUUAUUACAAACUUUUGUUAAUGUUAUGUGUUUUCGGAAAUUUCGUCUAAAUUAAUUUCUGGUAACAAAUUAUGACAAACGGUAUGGUAAAUGUGUCCAAAUAUUGGUGACAUGUCACGUGCCGCAGAGUUCCGACCUGUCGCAAUAUAUCUAUAUAUGGUGUUUAAAAACUGAAUUAUUAAUUAAAUUUAUAUCCUCGAACAUCAA